GCCUAACCAUAACACAACAAUAAAAUUACAUAUUGUUCGCCAAAUAACUACGAGUAAAAACUUAAAAUUUAAAAGACUUGACGGUACCCCACAACAACCUAGAGGAGCCUGUUCAAUAACCGAUACUCCACGAUUAAUCCAACCUUCCAUAGCCUACCAGUCUAUAUACCGCCGUCGCCAGCCUACCUUAUGAAAGAAACAAAGUAAGCCAAACAGCCACACACUAACACGACAGGUCGAGGUGUAACUCAUGGGAAGGACCAGAAUGGGCUACAUUAUCUAACCCAGAUAACACGGAUAAACUGUGAAACAAGAAAUUAAAGGCGGAUUUAGCAGUACACUACGAACACAAUACUUAGUCGAAAUUAGCGCAAUGGAGUGCGUACACACCGCCCGUCAUCCCUGUCAACUAACUAAAACAUUCAUAAAUACAAACAAAACCUUAAAGCAGGGCAAGUCGUAACACGGUAAGCGUACUGGAAAGUGCGCUUAGAAA
rnacentral:rRNA from 1 species